rnacentral:rRNA from 1 species
GCAAGUCGUGCGAGAAAGUAUCUUCGGAUAUGAGUAGAGCGGCGGACGGGUGAGUAACGCGUAGGAAUCUACCUAGUAGAAGGGGAUAGCCCGGGGAAACCCGGAUUAAUACCGUAUACCUCCUUCGGGAGAAAGAAGGCCUCUCUUUGAAGCUUUCGCUACUAGAUGAGCCUGCGUAAGAUUAGCUUGUUGGUGAGGUAAAGGCUCACCAAGGCAACGAUCUUUAGCUGGUCUGAGAGGACGAUCAGCCACAUUGGGACUGAGACACGGCCCAGACUCCUACGGGAGGCAGCAGUGGGGAAUAUUGGACAAUGGGCGCAAGCCUGAUCCAGCCAUACCGCGUGUGUGAAGAAGGCCUUCGGGUUGUAAAGCACUUUAAGCAGGGAGAAAAAGUUAUAAGUUAAUACCUUAUAGCCUUGAUGUUACCUGCAGAAUAAGCACCGGCUAAUUCCGUGCCAGCAGCCGCGGUAAUACGGAAGGUGCAAGCGUUAAUCGGAAUUACUGGGCGUAAGGCGCGCGUAGGUGGUUUGUUAAGUUGGAUGUGAAAGCCCUGGGCUCAACCUAGGAACUGCAUCCAAAACUAACUCACUAGAGUACGAUAGAGGGAGGUAGAAUUCAUAGUGUAGCGGUGGAAUGCGUAGAUAUUAUGAAGAAUACCAGUGGCGAAGGCGGCCUCCUGGAUCUGUACUGACACUGAGGUGCGAAAGCGUGGGUAGCGAACAGGAUUAGAUACCCUGGUAGUCCACGCCGUAAACGAUGACAACUAGCUGUUGGGAGACAAAGUCUUUCAGUGGCGCAGCUAACGCUCUAAGUUGUCCGCCUGGGGAGUACGGC